rnacentral:rRNA from 1 species
GAUGAACGCUGGCGGCGUGCCUAACACAUGCAAGUCGAACGGGAUUGACUUUCGGGUCAUGAGAGUGGCGCACGGGUGAGUAACACGUAGCUAACCUGCCCCAAACACCGGGAUAACGGAUCGAAAGGUCUGCUAAUACCGGAUAAGCUCACGACUACUAGAAGGUAGUGAGAAAAGCUCCGACGGUUUGGGAGGGGCUG